GGAUGUGAGGAUGAUAGGGCUGCAGCAUCUGUCAUCCCAUUGAUUGCCAGGGUUGAUUCAGCUGAUCUGGAUGGCUAGGUGGGUGUCCCCUUCUUCUCUCACCACUCCAUAUGCUUCCUUCCAAAGCUACAAGCUCCAGCUCGGUGGAAGAGGAUGACCUUCCCUUAAAGGUUGGUGCAAAAGUAAUUGCGGUUUCAGACUGUGAAUUUUAAAUUAUUAUAACUAGACUCAAACACAUCUUUAUUAAUCAAAAUUGGAAUAAUUACAGCCAACACAUUUUUGCCAAUGAGAAAUAACUUUGUU
rnacentral:snRNA from 1 species